GUCCUUCAUGUUUGCCAUUGGAUCCUUUGAAGGAAAUCCUGGUUUUCAACCCACUCAGAUAUCCAGAGAAAAGGGCUAAUAUAACUCAUAUCUCAAGAAUUCCUCCAAACCAAGGGAAUAAAGGAAGGAAGGAAGGAAGGAAGGAAGGAAGGAAGGAAGGAAGGAAGGAAGGAAAGAAAGAAGGAAGGAAGGCCUUCAUCCCAGAGAGGUCCUGCCUUGUACCGUGGAGUAAGAAAUGGUGCAACUGAAGGUCAAAGCAGAGUUUGAACAGACAAGCCUUGCUGCUUUCCCCACUGGGUCCAUUUCUAUUAGCUCAUACCUUUUUGUCAAAUAACAUUUCUACAGAGCUGCCCCUUCUUCAUGGAACCUAAACAUAAAAAUGGAUAGAUCUUUGAAUCUUCAAUAUGAGGACUCUCAUGUCACUUAAAACUAU
rnacentral:lncRNA from 1 species